rnacentral:ncRNA from 1 species
AUAAAUCCUGAGAGAAAGAGAGUAACUUUUUAUUAAGUUUCAGCGAGCUAGGGUUGGUGUGAGCCUAGCAACUGGAUAUAAAGUGAAGAGAGCUUUGGAGGAGAUUGUCAGAAAUUAUUAGUAUGUCAAUCGGUGAUCUCGCCUUAAGAGAUUGAGUGGAUAAGUUUUUUAUCAAUAAGAGUGGUAACGCGGAAUAAUUCGUCUCUUGG